rnacentral:rRNA from 1 species
GGGUUGUGAGGUUAAGCGACUAAGCGUACACGGUGGAUGCCCUGGCAGUCAGAGGCGAUGAAGGGCGUGCUAAUCUGCGAUAAGCGCCGGUAAGGUGAUAUGAACCGUUAUAACCGGCGAUACCCGAAUGGGGAAACCCAGUGUGAUUCGUCACACUAUCAUUAACUGAAUCCAUAGAUUAAUGAGGCGAACCGGGGGAACUGAAACAUCUAAGUACCCCGAGGAAAAGAAAUCAACCGAGAUUCCCCCAGUAGCGGCGAGCGAACGGGGAGGAGCCCAGAGCCUGAAUCAGCAUGUGUGUUAGUGGAAGCGUCUGGAAAGGCGCGCGAUACAGGGUGACAGCCCCGUACACAAAAGCGUAUGUGCUGUGAGCUCGAUGAGUAGGGCGGGACACGUGGUAUCCUGUCUGAAUAUGGGGGGACCAUCCUCCAAGGCUAAAUACUCCUGACUGACCGAUAGUGAACCAGUACCGUGAGGGAAAGGCGAAAAGAACCCCGGCGAGGGGAGUGAAAAAGAACCUGAAACCGUGUACGUACAAGCAGUGGGAGCACCCUUUGGGGUGUGACUGCGUACCUUUUGUAUAAUGGGUCAGCGACUUAUAUUCUGUAGCAAGGUUAACCGAAUAGGGGAGCCGGAGGGAAACCGAGUCUUAAUUGGGCGUUAAGUUGCAGGGUAUAGACCCGAAACCCGGUGAUCUAGCCAUGGGCAGGUUGAAGGUUGGGUAACACUAACUGGAGGACCGAACCGACUAAUGUUGAAAAAUUAGCGGAUGACCUGUGGCUGGGGGUGAAAGGCCAAUCAAACCGGGAGAUAGCUGGUUCUCCCCGAAAGCUAUUUAGGUAGCGCCUCGUGAAUUCAUCUCCGGGGGUAGAGCACUGUUUCGGCUAGGGGGUCAUCCCGACUUACCAACCCGAUGCAAACUGCGAAUACCGGAGAAUGUUAUCACGGGAGACACACGGCGGGUGCUAACGUCCGUCGUGAAGAGGGAAACAACCCAGACCGCCAGCUAAGGUCCCAAAGUCAUGGUUAAGUGGGAAACGAUGUGGGAAGGCCCAGACAGCCAGGAUGUUGGCUUAGAAGCAGCCAUCAUUUAAAGAAAGCGUAAUAGCUCACUGGUCGAGUCGGCCUGCGCGGAAGAUGUAACGGGGCUAAACCAUGCACCGAAGCUGCGGCAGCGACACUCAGGUGU